UGCCAGCAGCCGCGGUAAUACGGAGGGGGCUAGCGUUGUUCGGAAUUACUGGGCGUAAAGCGCGCGUAGGCGGAUCAGUCAGUUGGAGGUGAAAUCCCGGAGCUCAACUCCGGAAUUGCCUUCAAUACUGCUAGUCUUGAGUUCGAGAGAGGGUGGUGGAAUUCCGAGUGUAGAGGUGAAAUCCGUAGAUAUCUGGAGGAACACCGGUGGCGAAGGCGGCCAACUGGACGAGUACUGACGCUGAGGUACGAAAGCGUGGGGAGCAAACAGGAUUAGAUA
rnacentral:rRNA from 1 species